GAUUAGGUUAGUGUUAUGAUAUGAGGGUAGGUUAGUGUUAUGAUAUGAGGGUAGGUUAGUGGUAGACAUGUCUGUAUGUAGUGUUAUGAUAUGAGGAUAGGUUAGUGUUAUGAUUUUAAGGGUAGGUUAGUGGUAGACAUGUCUGUAUGUAGUGUUAUGAUAUGUCUGUAUGUAGUGUUAUGAUAUGAGGGUAGGUUAGUGUUGUGAUAUGAGGGUAGGUUAGUGUUAUGAUAUGAGGGUAGGUUAGUGUUAUGAUAUGAGGGUAGGUUAGUGUUAUGAUAUGAGGGCAGAU
ensembl:lncRNA